rnacentral:rRNA from 1 species
AUGUCAAACCUCUCAUCCAUCAAGCCAGCCAUGGCGGACUGGUCCUCGCUUCCGCCGGAGCUCGUCCGGCGCAUCGCGGACCGCCUCCUGGACACCAACGACCUCGACCUCUACAUGUGCCUCCGCGCCGUCUGCCCCAGCUGGCGCUCCGCCACCGACGACCCCAAGAACUCCUCCGAGCUCCGCUUCCGCCCGUGCCGGUGGAUCGUCAUCGACGAGCUCUUCGACGUCGGAAGCGACUCACGCCUCCUGGUGAACACCCUCAGCGGCCGCAUCGUCCGCCUGGACCUGCCUCUGCUCCGCCGGUACUGCUUUGUUGCUACUACCCACGGCGGCUUAUUCGUCCUCGCCGACAAGAAGCCCCCUCACCCGGCGGUCGUGCUCAACCCCUUCACCGGCCACAUGAUCCGCUUCAAGGCGCCCGUGCCCUGCUACAGGGGUCCUGCUGCCGCCGCUCUCUCCGGCCUUUUUGCGCUGUCGCUCACUUCUGCAGACCUCCGUUCUUCACCCACCCUCAUCUUGGUCUGGGAUAGUGGUUGCGGUCAAUACAUGGCUGCUCCUGACACCGACGAUUUCUGCCGGGAUUUGGAUGGAGAAGAGAUUAUUGAAGCCAUGAGCUCAUUCUUUCUGAUGCCGUUUGCCAUUGCUGGCGGCAUCUACGCUGCCGAUGGUUGGCAGGGAAGGGUGGCGCCGCUUCCGGUUGCUUUGGCUGCCAAGAUCUUCCGUGUGAUGAGGCUGCUCCACAUUGAUCCUUACAGGAUGUAUGUGGACAAAGUUUUUAUGGGGUUUGCUGAUCGUUCCUGGACAGGAGAUGCCAACCGCUUCUUCCUGGUUGAAUCUGCUGGAGAAUUGCUGGCUAUAGAGAACGUGCAGCCACAUCUGAAAAUUUUCAGGCUGGACACUGACAGCGAUGAGCUCGAGCCAGUGGAGAGCAUCGGCAGCCGUGCCAUCUUCAUCGGUUAUCGUAGGUGCGUGUCUGUCAGUGCGGACAAGUUCCCCUCUGUCGUCUCCAACUGCAUCUACUACAUCAAGUGCACAGAUUCGUCACAUGACAUCUAUCAGUAUGACCUGAAGACAAAAAAAGAAGAGAGGGUCUGUGAAGCCAUAGAUCCCUUAACCCCCACCAUCAUCAUGCAACCCUUCUUACACCCCAUCAGGCCAACCUUUGCCAAACCUCCUUUCACCAUCCUGCAGCUCCUCUCCAGCUACACCGUAAACGCCCGGGAAUCUCAGCUUGAGAUGGAAACUUUUGUACAGGACCUUCUUCCUGGUGCUUUUCCGGACGACGGCUCUUACUUUGAUGAACAUGACUGA